UGCGUAGGCGGGCUAAUAAGUCAGUGGUGAAAUCUCUCGGCUCAACCGGGAAACUGCCAUUGAUACUGUUAGUCUUGAGUUCGGUUGAGGUAGGCGGAAUGUGUAAUGUAGCGGUGAAAUGCUUAGAUAUUACACAGAACACCAAUUGCGUAGGCAGCUUACUAGACCGACACUGACGCUGAGGCACGAAAGCGUGGGGAGCGAACAGGAUUAGAUACCCUUGGUAGUCC
rnacentral:rRNA from 1 species